rnacentral:rRNA from 1 species
UGGCUCAGGAUGAACGCUAGCGGCAGGCUUAAUACAUGCAAGUCGUGGGGCAGCAGGUUUGUAGCAAUACAGAUGCUGGCGACCGGCAAACGGGUGCGGAACACGUACAGAACCUUCCUUUGAGCGGGGAAUAGCCCAGAGAAAUUUGGAUUAAUACCCCAUAGUAUAAUGAAGUGGCAUCACUUUAUUAUUAAAGAUUUAUCACUCGAAGAUGGCUGUGCGGCUGAUUAGGUAGUUGGCGGGGUAAAGGCCCACCAAGCCUGCGAUCAGUAACUGGUGUGAGAGCACGACCAGUCACACGGGCACUGAGACACGGGCCCGACUCCUACGGGAGGCAGCAGUAAGGAAUAUUGGUCAAUGGAGGCAACUCUGAACCAGCCAUGCCGCGUGGAGGAUGAAGGUCCUCUGGAUUGUAAACUUCUUUUAUAUGGGACGAAAAAAGGCUUUUCUAAGUCGUCUGACGGUACCAUAUGAAUAAGCACCGGCUAACUCCGUG